rnacentral:rRNA from 1 species
CUCAAAUUUGAAAUCUGGCUUCGGCCCGAGUUGUAAUUUGCAGAGGAUGCUUUUGGUGCGGUGCCUUCCGAGUUCCCUGGAACGGGACGCCACAGAGGGUGAGAGCCCCGUAUGGUCGGACACCAAUCCUGUGUAAAGCUCCUUCGACGAGUCGAGUAGUUUGGGAAUGCUGCUCUAAAUGGGAGGUAAAUCUCUUCUAAAGCUAAAUACCGGCCAGAGACCGAUAGCGCACAAGUAGAGUGAUCGAAAGAUGAAAAGCACCUUGAAAAGGGGGUUAAACAGUACGUGAAAUUGUUGAAAGGGAAGCACUUGUGACCAGACUUGGGCCGGGCGGCUCAUCAGGGGUUCUCCCCUGUGCAUUCCGCCCGGUACAGGCCAGCAUCGGUUCUUACCGGGGGAUAAGAACGGCAGGAACGUGGCUCCCUCUCGGGGGAGUGUUAUAGCCUGCCGUACGAUACCCUGGCGGGGACCGAGGUUCGCGCUUCCGCAAGGAUGCUGGCGUAAUGGUUACUAGUGACCCGUCUUGAAACACGGACCAAGGAGUCGUCCAUUAGAGCGAGCGUUUGGGUGUAAAACCCGCACGCGUAAUGAAAGUGAAAUUAGGUGAGAGCUUCGGCGCAUCAUCGACCGAUCCUGAUGUUCUCGGAUGGAUUUGAGUAAGAGUUUUAACGGACGGACCCGAAAGACAGUGAACUAUGCUUGUAUAGGGUGAAGCCAGAGGAAACUCUGGU